GAGCGGCGAACGGGUGAGUAACACGUGAGUAACCUGCCCCUGACUUCGGGAUAAGCCUGGGAAACUGGGUCUAAUACCGGGUAUGACCUUNANCGGCAUCGCUNGGGGUGGAAAGUUUUUCGGUUGGGGAUGGGCUCGCGGCCUAUCAGCUUGUUGGUGGGGUAGUGGCCUACCAAGGCGACGACGGGUAGCCGGCCUGAGAGGGCGACCGGCCACACUGGGACUGAGACACGGCCCAGACUCCUACGGGAGGCAGCAGUGGGGAAUAUUGCGCAAUGGGCGGAAGCCUGACGCAGCGACGCCGCGUGGGGGAUGACGGCCUUCGGGUUGUAAACCUCUUUCAGCAGGGACGAAGUUGACGUGUACCUGUAGAAGAAGCGCCGGCUAACUACGUGCCAGCAGCCGCGGUAAUACGUAGGGCGCGAGCGUUGUCCGGAAUUAUUGGGCGUAAAGAGCUCGUAGGUGGCUUGUCGCGUCUGCCGUGAAAGCCCAUGGCUUAACUGUGGGUCUGCGGUGGAUACGGGCUGGCUAGAGGUAGGUAGGGGCAAGCGGAAUUCCU
rnacentral:rRNA from 1 species